CCUCAUACCUUUGGCAUGGGUACGUUUUUUCAAUAGCGUGACAUGAAUGCACGUAUGAGGUAGAUAAAUACAGCUACAUGCCUUCGGUGUCCACACUUUACAUGUCUGGAUCCCAUCCUCAGAUGCUGUAACACUU
rnacentral:snoRNA from 1 species